GAUGAACGCUGGCGGCGUGCCUAAUACAUGCAAGUCGAGCGAACAGACGAGGAGCUUGCUCCUCUGACGUUAGCGGCGGACGGGUGAGUAACACGUGGAUAACCUACCUAUAAGACUGGGAUAACUUCGGGAAACCGGAGCUAAUACCGGAUAAUAUAUUGAACCGCAUGGUUCAAUAGUGAAAGACGGUUUUGCUGUCACUUAUAGAUGGAUCCGCGCCGCAUUAGCUAGUUGGUAAGGUAACGGCUUACCAAGGCAACGAUGCGUAGCCGACCUGAGAGGGUGAUCGGCCACACUGGAACUGAGACACGGUCCAGACUCCUACGGGAGGCAGCAGUAGGGAAACUUCCGCAAUGGGCGAAAGCCCGACGGAGCAACGCCGCGUGAGUGAUGAAGGUCUUCGGAUCGUAAAACUCUGUUAUUAGGGAAGAACAAAUGUGUAAGUAACUAUGCACGUCUUGACGGUACCUAAUCAGAAAGCCACGGCUAACUACGUG
rnacentral:rRNA from 1 species